GAGUCAGCACAAGGCUCUGAGGUGGUGUUCAUUAUAACCAUUUCCUUGAACUUCCAUUUUGCCUUCUGUUGUCAGUGACUUCAGAUGAGAAAGACAGCGGAUUUGCAUCCAGGAUCCCAAAUUACGGGUUUAAUAAGAGCCAUUUGAGGUCUCUUCCUGCAAAGGGAAUGUCACCCUCCAGUCCAGGACAGCAGUGUAGCCACACAGGCUGGCUCAACACCCACCCUGGACCUUGACCUUUCUGAAUCACCUCAAAUACAGCUCCAUGCAGUCAUCUACAGUCUGCUUCAGCCUGGAAGUGUCAGCUCUGCUUUGGUGUUGUCCGUGGGCACCCAGAUCUACCUGUUGUUGUUGAGCUCAAAGGCAAUUCUUC
rnacentral:lncRNA from 1 species